UGAAUGUUUAUUCCUCUUAGUUCCUACAAUGUAUGAUUAUAGUUAAUUACGUGUUCCACAGGCAGCCUAGGUUCCAGGAAUUGAUCAGUGUUUCUAGAUGCAUAUUUCUGACUCCUAAUACUUGAAGUCAAAACUAGAGUAUGUCAUCACUGUAAAGUCUUGUGAACCCAAACACUAAGAAUUUUUGGAAAAAUUUGGAAGUAUCUAGUUUAUCCUUUUGCUCACUGCCACUACCAUUGCCAACGACAACAGCAAACACUUGUUGAGGAAAUAGUGAAUUGUGAUGAAUGAGAGAACUCCUUGUCUAAGUUUACUAUUAAUCUAUAGCAUACAUGUUCUAGAGAAACUACUUUAAAGUUCAUAUGGAACCAAAAGAGAGCCCGCAUCGCCAAGUCAAUCCUAAGCCAAAAGAACAAAGCUGGAGGCAUCACACUACCUGACUUCAAACUAUACUACAAGGCUACAGUAACCAAAACAGCAUGGUACUGGUAAUUCUUGAGUCCAGUGAAAAGUUCUGUCUAAGCCAUUUAGAAGUUGUCAGUUGUAGUCCUUGCUCACUAAAGCCUCAGGCGUUUACCGAGAGGAAAACUGAGGCUUGUGAGGAAGCAGAGUCGUCUCCUCUUGCCUCCAUGAUUGGUCGUUGGA
rnacentral:lncRNA from 1 species